GCUCGUAGGCGGCCUGUCGCGUCGGAUGUGAAAGCCCGGGGCUUAACCCCGGGUCUGCAUUCGAUACGGGCAGGCUAGAGUUCGGUAGGGGAGAUCGGAAUUCCUGGUGUAGCGGUGAAAUGCGCAGAUAUCAGGAGGAACACCGGUGGCGAAGGCGGAUCUCUGGGCCGAUACUGACGCUGAGGAGCGAAAGCGUGGGGAGCGAACAGGAUUAGAUACCCUGGUAGUCCACGCCGUAAACGUUGGGAACUAGGUGUGGGCGACAUUCCACGUCGUCCGUGCCGCAGCUAACGCAUUAAGUUCCCCGCCUGGGGAGUACGGCCGCAAGGCUAAAACUCAAAGGAAUUGACGGGGGCCUGCACAAGCGGCGGAGCAUGUGGCUUAAUUCGACGCAACGCGAAGAACUCUUACCUAAGGCUUGACAUAUAUCGGAAAACUGUAGAGAUACGGUCUCCUCUUGUGGUCGGUGUACAGGUGGUGCAUGGUUGUCGUCAGCUCGUGUCGUGAGAUGUUGGGUUAAGUUCCUGCAAUGAGCGCAAUCCUUUGUUCUGUGUU
rnacentral:rRNA from 1 species